CAAACAAAAUACUACAUUUUAAAUAAUUGGACGAACUAUUUACAAUAGUUAGCAACAAAAUAGUAUACAACCCUAUUUACAUGUAUGUACAACACUUUUAGAUCACUUUCGAUUCCCACGGCAAACCCCCAGGCGGGCAAGUCUACCGGCGGGCAACCUGACGUUUCUCACGUCAGUUACAAAACGUCACACCAAUGUCAUGGGAGCAUAUCGUUAUGCUCAAUGUUUAUUUAGUGACGAAAGUGCUAAAAGUGUAAUUUCAGUGCAAUAAUCGUUGAAAUCGGCCAAAUUUUCAACGAAAAUCGAGGACAUAAACAGUGGUGGUGUUUUGCUGCCAGGAUGCAAUCUUUCUGCGAAAGAUUGACCUGCAGUAACCACCAAAUCUUCCCGGGAUUAACCAUGAAGCCAUCUUGUCUUGCAAGAUGCACUACAGAUAUGGCCAAUUUUACUAAGUGGGCCAUCCCCUCAUCGCAUCUCCACCGUCGGCGCACAGAUAAAGGGCAAAAUUAUUAACCCCUUCGUCAUCCCCGAAUCGGCCAGUGCGACUAUGGAUGCCCAUGAUGGAAUGGAAAAGUACUUAUGAUGCCAUGGGACCAACCAGCAAACAAACGGAUCACAGGAUCCAAAUCGUCGGCCCCAGAGAAAAAUUGGAAACUUCAUCCGUACCCUCUGGCCAUAGCCAACAUCCGAUCCUGCCGUUCAAUUCUUACGGUCUGGCCCGAUCGGCCAUCAAAAUUCCUGUAAA